rnacentral:rRNA from 1 species
UACGGAGGGUGCAAGCGUUGUCCGGAUUUAUUGGGUUUAAAGGGUGCGUAGGCGGCCCGUUAAGUCCGUGGUGAAAGCCAACAGCUCAACUGUUGAACUGCCAUGGAUACUGACGGGCUUGAGUACAGACGAGGUAGGCGGAAUGGAUGGUGUAGCGGUGAAAUGCAUAGAUACCAUCCAGAACACCGAUUGCGUAGGCAGCUUACUAGGCUGUAACUGACGCUGAGGCACGAAAGCGUGGGGAGCGAACAGG